CUGGGCUAGGGUGGGGAGCACGGAGAGGGCUCAGUGCGUGGCUGUGCCUGUUGGUUUGAGAGGCACAGCUUCAGGCUCCCGGUGCCCAAGGAGAUGGGAAGUGUCCUCCCCCUGGAUGGGCUCCAGUGAGACAGAUGGUGAAGUUCUCAGAGGUGCCUGUUAUUUGGAAUCUCAUUCAAAAAUGUCUUCAGCAAUAAUUCUCAGCCCGUGAGUCCCUGGUGAAAUCUGCAUUGCAGCAAUUCAAAAUGAGCGAAAUUUACACUACAAGGCAGCAGCACCUAGUGGAAAAAUGGUGCAAAAAUGAAAAAGGCAAGGACAAAAAAAGAAAAUAUACCUCCACUUUCAAAACUCAAAUGGAACCUAAAAUCUUUCCGUGUCCAAAAAAUGACAUUUUCAGUCAAAAUGAACUGAAUUGUUUUGAUUCAAAAGGUAAAUUCCUGCAUUAAAACUCUAUUU